AACGAACGCUGGCGGCAGGCCUAACACAUGCCAGUCGAGCGAGAUCUUCGGGUCUAGCGGCGGACGGGUGAGUAACGCGUGGGAAUAUGCCUCUUGGUACGGAAUAGCCUCGGGAAACUGGGAGUAAUACCGUAUGUGCCCUUUGGGGGAAAGAUUUAUCGCCAAGAGAUUAGCCCGCGUUGGAUUAGGUAGUUGGUGGGGUAAUGGCCUACCAAGCCGACGAUCCAUAGCUGGUUUGAGAGGAUGAUCAGCCACACUGGGACUGAGACACGGCCCAGACUCCUACGGGAGGCAGCAGUGGGGAAUCUUAGACAAGGGGGGCAACCCUGAUCUAGCCAUGCCGCGUGAGUGAUGAAGGCCUUAGGGUUGUAAAGCUCUUUCAGCUGGGAAGAUAAUGACGGUACCAGCAGAAGAAGCCCCGGCUAACUCCGUG
rnacentral:rRNA from 1 species